GACGAACGCUGGCGGCGUGCUUAACACAUGCAAGUCGAACGGAAAGGCCCUGCUUUUGUGGGGUGCUCGAGUGGCGAACGGGUGAGUAACACGUGAGUAACCUGCCCUUGACUUUGGGAUAACUUCAGGAAACUGGGGCUAAUACCGGAUAGGAGCUCCUGCUGCAUGGUGGGGGUUGGAAAGUUUCGGCGGUUGGGGAUGGACUCGCGGCUUAUCAGCUUGUUGGUGGGGUAGUGGCUUACCAAGGCUUUGACGGGUAGCCGGCCUGAGAGGGUGACCGGCCACAUUGGGACUGGGAUACGGCCCAGACUCCUACGGGAGGCAGGAGUGGGGAAUAUUGCACAAUGGGCGGAAGCCUGAUGCAGCAACGCCGCGUGCGGGAUGACGGCCUUCGGGUUGUAAACCGCUUUCGCCUGUGACGAAGCGUGAGUGACGGUAAUGGGUAAAGAAGCACCGGCUAACUACGU
rnacentral:rRNA from 1 species